AAUAAAUACAAAUAAUUGUUGACUUUAAACAUUUUAUUAUGGUAUAUUAAAUUAGUAGUUAAAAAUAAUAUUAUCGCGGGAUGGAGCAGUUCGG
rnacentral:ncRNA from 21 species